GACGAACGCUGGCGGCGUGCUUAACACAUGCAAGUCGAACGGUGAAAGCGGAGCUUGCUCCGCUGGAUCAGUGGCGAACGGGUGAGUAACACGUGGGCAACCUGCCCCUCACUUCGGGAUAACUCCGGGAAACCGGGGCUAAUACCGGAUAUGAACUCCCUGGGCAUCCUUGGCGGUGUAAAGUUUUUCGGUGAGGGAUGGGCUCGCGGCCUAGCAGCUUGUUGGUGAGGUAGUGGCUCACCAAGGCGACGACGGGUAGCCGGCCUGAGAGGGCGACCGGCCACACUGGGACUGAGACACGGCCCAGACUCCUACGGGAGGCAGCAGUGGGGAAUAUUGCGCAAUGGGCGAAAGCCUGACGCAGCAACGCCGCGUGCGGGAUGACGGCCUUCGGAUUGUAAACCGCUUUCAGCAGGGAAGAAGCCGCAAGGUGACGGUACCUGCAGAAGAAGCACCGGCUAACUACGUGCCAGCCGCCGCCGUAA
rnacentral:rRNA from 1 species